CUGCCCCUGACUCCGGGAUAAGCGGUGGAAACGCCGUCUAAUACCGGAUACGACCUUUCAGCUCAUGCUGGAGGGUGGAAAGUUUUAUCGGUCAGGGAUGGGCUCGCGGCCUAUCAGCUUGUUGGUGGGGUAAAGGCCUACCAAGGCGAUUACGGGUAGCCGGCCUGAGAGGGCGACCGGCCACACUGGGACUGAGACACGGCCCAGACUCCUGCGGGAGGCAGCAGUGGGGAAUAUUGCACAAUGGGCGAAAGCCUGAUGCAGCGACGCCGCGUGGGGGAUGACGGCCUUCGGGUUGUAAACCUCUUUUACCACCAACGCAGGCUCCACGUUCUCGUGGGGUUGACGGUAGGUGGGGAAUAAGGACCGGCUAACUACGUGCCAGCAGCCGCGGUAAUACGUAGGGUCCGAGCGUUGUCCGGAAUUAUUGGGCGUAAAGAGCUCGUAGGCGGCGUGUCACGUCUGCUGUGAAAGACCGGGGCUUAACUCCGGUUCUGCAGUGGAUACGGGCAUGCUAGAGGUAGGUAGGGGAGACUGGAAUUCCUGGUGUAGCGGUGAAAUGCGCAGAUAUCAGGAGGAACACCGGUGGCGAAGGCGGGUCUCUGGGCCUUACCUGACGCUGA
rnacentral:rRNA from 1 species